rnacentral:rRNA from 1 species
AGAGUUUGAUCCGGCUCAGGAUGAACGCUGGCGGCGUGCUUAACACAUGCAAGUCGAACGAAGCGCCUUGCCGGAACCCCUUCGGGGGGGAAGGCAUUGCGACUGAGUGGCGGACGGGUGAGUAACGCGUGGGCAACCUGCCCCAUACACGGGGAUAACAGUUAGAAAUGACUGCUAACACCGCAUAAGCGCACAGGGCCGCAUGGCCCAGGUGUGAAAAACUCCGGUGGUAUGGGAUGGGCCCGCGUCUGAUUACCCAGUAUGGCGGGGUAACGGCCCACCAAAGGCACGAUCAGUAGCCGACCUGAGAGGGUGACCGGCCACAUUGGGACUGAGACACGGCCCAAACUCCUACGGGAGGCAGCAGUGGGGAAUAUUGCACAAUGGGGGGAACCCUGAUGCACCGACGCCGCGUGAGCGAAGAAGUAUCUCGGUAUGUAAAGCUCUAUCAGCAGGGAAGAAAAAUGACGGUACCUGACUAAGAAGCCCCGGCUAACUACGUGCCAGCAGCCGCGGUAAUACGUAGGGGGCAAGCGUUAUCCGGAUUUACUGGGUGUAAAGGGAGCGCAGGCGGCGCGGCAAGUCUGAUGUGAAAGCGCCGGGGCUCAACCCCGGGACUGCAUCGGAAACUGUGCAGCUCGAGUGCAGGAGAGGUAAGCGGAAUUCCUAGUGUAGCGGUGAAAUGCGUAGAUAUUAGGAGGAACACCAGUGGCGAAGGCGGCUUACUGGACUGUAACUGACGUUGAGGCUCGAAAGCGUGGGGAGCAAACAGGAUUAGAUACCCUGGUAGUCCACGCCGUAAACGAUUUUACAUAGGUGUCGGGGGGCCAAGGCCCUCCGGUGCCGCCGCAAACGCAUUAAGUAAUCCACCUGGGGAGAACGUUCGCAAGAAUGAAACUCAAAGGAAUGGACGGGGACCCGCACAAGCGGUGGAGCAUGUGGUUUAAUUCGAAGCAACGCGAAGAACCUUACCUGGUCUUGACAUCCCGGUGGCAAGUGAGCAAUGUCACUGUUCCUUCGGGACACCGGAGACAGGUGGAGCAUGGUUGUCGUCAGCUGGUGUCGUGAGAUGUUGGGUUAAGUCCCGCAACGAGCGCAACCCCUAUUUCCAGUAGCCAGCAUUCAGGAUGGGCACUCUGGAGAGACUGCCCGGGAUAACCGGGAGGAAGGCGGGGAUGACGUCAAAUCAUCAUGCCCCUUAUGACCAGGGCUACACACGUGCUACAAUGGCGUAAACAAAGGGAGGCAAAGCGGUGACGCCAGGCAAAUCCCAAAAAUAACGUCCCAGUUCGGAUUGCAGCCUGCAACUAGGUUGCAUGAAGCUGGAAUCGCUAGUAAUCGCGGAUCAGAAUGCCGCGGCGCACAAGUUCCCGGGUCUUGCACAAAGCGCCCGUCA